AUUGUGUGUGAAAGUUUCUAAGGGCGCAUGGUGGAUGCCUUGGCAACAGGAGCCGAAGAAGGACGUGGGAUCUGCGAUAAGCCUGGUGGAGUCGAUAACCGGACGUGAGACCAGGAUUUCCGAAUGGGGGAAACCCCGCACGACGUGUCGUGUGACCCCCGGUUGAACACAUAGACCGGGUGGAGGGAACGUGGGGAAGUGAAACAUCUCAGUACCCACAGGAAGAGAAAACAAAAGUGAUUCCGUUAGUAGUGGCGAGCGAACGCGGAUGGGGCUAAACCGUAUGUGUGUGAUACCCGGCAGGGGUUUGUGCGGUGUUGUGGGCCCCUUGUCAUGUCUGCCGGCAUGGCGCAGUGAGGUGCGGGCAUAUAGACGAAC
rnacentral:rRNA from 1 species